UAAUAAGAAGCAAUAAUUGCAUUUAAUUUCGACUUAAAAGAUAGAGUUUAUUUGACUCCUUAUUAA
rnacentral:tRNA from 1 species